rnacentral:rRNA from 1 species
GAACGCUAGCGGCAGGCUUAACACAUGCAAGUCGAGGGUAUAGUUCUUCGGAAUUAGAGACCGGCGCACGGGUGCGUAACGCGUUAUGCAAUCUACCUUUCACAAAGGAUAGCCAGAGAAAUUUGGAUUAAUACCUUAUAGUAAUACGACUUGGCAUCAAGAUGUAUUUAAAGAUUUAUCGGUGAAAGAUGAGCAUGCGUCCCAUUAGCUUGUUGGUAAGGUAACGGCUUACCAAGGCAACGAUGGGUAGGGGUCCUGAGAGGGAGAUCCCCCACACUGGUACUGAGACACGGGCCAGACUCCUACGGGAGGCAGCAGUGAGGAAUAUUGGACAAUGGGCGCAAGCCUGAUCCAGCCAUGCCGCGUGCAGGAUGACGGUCCUAUGGAUUGUAAACUGCUUUUGUACAGGAAGAAACCCUUUCACGUGUGGAAGAUUGACGGUACUGUAAGAAUAAGGAUCGGCUAACUCCGUG